CGUUGAUUUUACCGACGGACGGGAACAGCUCGGCAGUCCGCAUGCGAUCGACGGACGCUUACCCUCCUGAAGCAGAACCUUGUACAACCAUCAGUCGUGCGAAGCUUGAGAUGAUACGACGUUAUCCAGUAACGUUAAAACGAGAAUUAAUUUCCGGGUGUCGUAGAUCGAGAAGAAAAGCUAUGAAUCUAUGUUCCGAUCUACCGAUGAAACUUUUGGAUGAACAGCGUCAUGAUAAUCAUGAAAUAUAGGAAAUUCUGGUUGUACGUUAGACAUACCGAGAAGAAAGUAUGAUUAGCAGGAGUGAAAAUAUUAUCGAGAGCUAAUCACAUUUCCCACUAAUUGAGGCGCAGAAGAACGCGAGACAGCUAUAAUGACAACGGUUGAAGGAAUUCAACAAGACGUCUUGUUAGCUUUCUUGUAUGAUGUCGGAUUGUGAUUCAAGAUGAUCUGGUUACACGUUUACAUGGAAAUUGUUGAAGCACAGCUGUAACUAAGUCCGUUGAAUUUAUUGUAAGGCCUGGAACUUCACGUCUCGAAAUCAAUUUGAUGGA